rnacentral:rRNA from 1 species
CUCAAAAAUCUAGAGAAAUAAUUUGUUUUAAGUGCCAAGGAAGAGGACACAUAUCUAGCCAAUGCCCAAAUAGAAUCAUGGUAUUAAAGGGUGAUGGUGAGCUGGAAUCCGCAAGUGAAGAAAGUGGAGCUGAAACCGAGCAAGAGGAGGGUUGUAAUGAAGAUGCAACCGAACCUGUAGAUACAUCUAAUGCCGAGUUGAGCUUGGUUUCAAGGAGAGUACUUGCUGUCUACAAAGAUGAAGAGCAGAUACAAAGAGAAAACAUCUUCCACACUCGCUGCGAAAUACAAGGUAAAAUUUGUAGCAUGAUUAUAGAUAGUGGGAGUUGUACUAAUGUGAUAAGUAAUCUUGUAGUUGAUAAAUUAGGCUUGAAAACAAUUAAGCAUCCAGAACCUUAUAGAUUACAAUGGCUUAAUGAUAGUGGUGAGAUGAAAGUAAACAAACAAGCCAAAGUAAAAUUUAAUAUAGGUAGAUAAUUUGUGCAUGGCAUGACAAAUUGGCUGGUUUUGGUAUAUUACCCACUGCUUUACUGUAUUUUGCUGAGUUGGAUUUGUCUCUUUCCUCUAAGCAAGGCAACGUGUGGGACUCCAUAGAAAUCCUAUUUGGCAUCCUAAAAGGCAUAUGGAAGCUAAUUUGGAGCUUAAAUUGGUCAAAGAUUUUUCAAAGUCAACUUAGUAAAAAAGACAGUAUUUUAGUUUCCUAAUUUGAUUUCUACUUUUUGUUUUAGGAAAUUACCAUUACUUUUUGGUUUUAUUUAUGUAUUUGCUGGAUAAAUAAGUUUAGGAAAGUUAUUAUUUUUAUUAUUUCUUUUUAAAUUAAUUAAUUCCGAAUUCAAAAUAAAGGAAUUAAUUAAUCAAAAUUAGAUUAGGAAAGGAGAGAGAAAAUUCGGUCAUAUUAGGAAACAACAAGCAUGGCCUAUAUUCCCUUUAGUUUUUAGGGUUUUAUUUUGUUUUCUCUUAGCCUAUUUAAGGGCUUAUUUUUUAGGAAGAACACACCUUUAGUAAUAUUCAUAAUUUAUUUGCGAGAUUGAAUUCUCUUUGUUCUCUUUGAACAUCUAAAACACCAUUAGCGAAUAAGUGUUUUAGUUUGACUUAUCAAUAGUAUAUCCAUCACCUAUUGUGGUGUUUUCAUUAUACCAAGGUUUCUAAUCACAGGUUGGUUAGGGGUUAAGGUGACAAUUAGAACUUGAACAUAAUUAGAUCCGGGCUUAUAUAGUACUAGUUUAGGUGCAGGUUGUCCUAGGUUCGUAUCCGGUGAGUCAAGGCCUAAGAUCUAGCCGAAAAGCAUAGUCGAUGGACAAGAUGUGAAUAUUUUAUACUACCCCUUAUUGGUCCCAAAGAACAGAGGAGGCUAGGUUAGCCAAAAGAUGUUAUCGAUUCAAGGAUGUAAGGUGCCCCUGCUUUUUCAAGGUCAGAAGGGGUAGAGAAAAUGCCCUGAGCCAAUGUUCGAGUACCAAGCACUACGGCGCUGAAGUAACCCAUGCCAUACUCUCAGGAAAAGCUAAAAUGACCUUCGACAAAAGGGUACCUGCACCUGAAACUGACAUAGGUGGGCAGGUAGAGAAUACCUAGGGGUGCAAGACAACUCUCUCUAAGGAACUCAUAAAUAGCCUCAUAACUUCAAGAGAAGGGGUGGCUCCGCACAAAGGGGGUCACAAUGACCAGGCCCGGGUGACUGUUUUCCAAAAACACAGUUCUCCGUAAAGUCAUAAUACCAUGUAUGGAGGCUGACGCCUGCGUAGUGCCGAAAGGUUGAGGAAGUUGGUGACUUGAUGACAUGGGAGCUGGCGACCGAAGCCCUGGUGAACAGGGGUUGUAACUAUAAUGAUCUUAAGGUAGUGAAAUACUUUGUUGGGUAAGUUUCAACCCGCACGAAAGACGUAAUGAUCUGGGCACUGUCUUAAAGAGAGGCUCGGUGAAAUAGACAUGUCUAUGAAGAUGCAGACUACCUGUGCUUGGAUAGAAAUACCCUAUAAAGCUUCACUGUUCCCUGGGAUUGGCUUUGGGCCUUUCCUGCGCAGCUUAGGUGGAGGGCAAAGAAAGCCUCUUUCUAAAGGGGCCUGAGCCAUCAGUGAGAUACCACUCUAGAAGAGCUAGAAUUCAAACCUUGUGUCAGGACCUAUGGGCCAAGGAACAGUCUCAGGUAGACAGUUUCUAUGGGGCAUAGGCCUCCUAAAAGGUAACAGGGGCAUUCAAAGAUUUCUCGGGCCAGACGGAGAUUGGCCCUCGAGUGCAAAAGGGGAAGGGAGCUUAACUGCAAGACCCACCCAUCAAGUAGGGAUGAAAGUCAGCCUUAGUGAUCCAAUAGUGUCGAGUGGAAGGAUCGUUGUUCAACAGAUAAAAGUUACUCUAGGGAUAACAGGCUGAUUUUCCCCAAGAGCUCACAUCGACGGGAAGGUUUGAACCUUGAACGAAGCCUUUACCCCACCCAAGAGCUCACAUCGACGGGAAGGUUUGGCACUUCGAUGUCGGCUUUUCGCCACCUGGGGCUGUAGUAUGUUCCAAGGGUUGGGUUGUUCGCCCAUGAAAAUGGUACGUGAGAUGGGUUCAAAAUGUCAUGAGACAAUUCGGUCUAUAUCUGGUGUGGGCAUUAGAGCAUUGGGAGGAUCCUUCCCUAGUACGAGCGGACCGGGAAGGAUGUACCUCUGGUGUAAUAGUUAUUGUGCCCACCGUAAACACCAGGUAGCCAAGUGCAGAGUGGAUAACUGCUAAAAGCAUUUAAGUAGUAAGCCCACCCCCAGAUGAGUGCUCUCCUAUUUUGACUUCCCUAGAGCUUCCGGUAGCACAGCUAAGACAGCGAUGGGUUUUUUGCCCCUGAGGGGGUGAAGUGACCGAAGUUUUGAAAAUUCAAAAGAAGAUCACGAAGAGACGAGUCGUUUAUCAUUAUGAUAGGUGUCAAGUGGAAGUGCAGUGAUGUAUGCAGCUGAGGCAUCCUAAUAGACCAGUAGACUUGAGCCU